UACGACGGGGGCUAGCGUUGCUCGGAAUCACUGGGCGUAAAGGGUGCGUAGGCGGGUCUUUAAGUCAGGGGUGAAAUCCUGGAGCUCAACUCCAGAACUGCCUUUGAUACUGAAGAUCUUGAGUUCGGGAGAGGUGAGUGGAACUGCGAGUGUAGAGGUGAAAUUCGUAGAUAUUCGCAAGAACACCGGUGGCGAAGGCGGCGACCUGGUCCGAUACUGACGCUGAGGCGCGAAAGCGUGGGGAGCAAACAGG
rnacentral:rRNA from 1 species